rnacentral:rRNA from 1 species
AUUGAACGCUGGCGGCAGGCCUAACACAUGCAAGUCGAGCGAGCGGCGGACGGGUGAGAAAUGUAUGGGGACUGCCCGAUAGAGGGGGAUAAAUACUGGAAACGGUGGCUAAUACCGCAUAUUGUCGGAUUACCCGUAUGGGAUUAGCUAGUAGGUAAGGUAAUGGCUUACCUAGGCGAAGCUCCAUAGCUGGUCUGAGAGGAUGAUCAGCCAAACUGGGACUAGGACACGGCCCAGACUCCUACGGAGGCAGCAGUGGGGAAUAUUGCACAAUGGGCGCAAGCCUGAUGCAGCCAUGCCGCGUGUAUGAAGAAGGCCCUAGGGUUGUAAAGUACUUUCAGUCGGGAGGCGUUACCGACAGAAGAAGCACCGGCUAACUCCGUGCCAGCAGCCGCGGUAAUAC